GACGAACGCUGGCGGCGUGCUUAACACAUGCAAGUCGAACGGACAGACAGAGAGCUUGCUCUCUUGAAGUUAGUGGCGAACGGGUGAGUAACGCGUAAUCAACCUGCCCUUCAGAGGGGGAUAACAACGGGAAACCGUUGCUAAUACCGCGUACGAUUCAUGAACGGCAUCGUUUAUGAAUGAAAGGUGGCCUCUAUGUAUAAGCUAUCGCUGAAGGAGGGGAUUGCGUCUGAUUAGCUAGUUGGAGGGGUAACGGCCCACCAAGGCAAUGAUCAGGAGCCGGUCUGGGAGGAUGAACGGCCACAUUGGGACUGAGACACGGCCCAAACUCCUACGGGAGGCAGCAGUGGGGAAUCUUCCGCAAUGGACGAAAGUCUGACGGAGCAACGCCGCGUGAGUGAUGAAGGUCUUCGGAUUGUAAAGCUCUGUUAAUCGGGACGAAAGAGUUCUGCGUGAAUAAUGCAGAAAAGUGACGGUACCGGAAUAGAAAGCCACGGCUAACUACGUGCCAGCAGCCGCAGUAA
rnacentral:rRNA from 1 species